rnacentral:rRNA from 1 species
GAUGAACGCUGGCGGCGUGCCUAAUACAUGCAAGUCGAGCGAACAGACGAGGAGCUUGCUCCUCUGACGUUAGCGGCGGACGGGUGAGUAACACGUGGAUAACCUACCUAUAAGACUGGGAUAACUUCGGGAAACCGGAGCUAAUACCGGAUAAUAUAUUGAACCGCAUGGUUCAAUAGUGAAAGACGGUUUUGCUGUCACUUAUAGAUGGAUCCGCGCCGCAUUAGCUAGUUGGUAAGGUAACGGCUUACCAAGGCAACGAUGCGUAGCCGACCUGAGGGGGUGAUCGGCCCCCCUGGAACUGAGACGCGGUCCAGACUCCUACGGGAGGCAGCAGUAGGGAAUCUUCCGCAAUGGGCGAAAGCCUGACGGAGCAACGCCGCGUGAGUGAUGAAGGUCUUCGGAUCGUAAAACUCUGUUAUUAGGGAAGAACAAAUGUGUAAGUAACUAUGCACGUCUUGACGGUACCUAAUCAGAAAGCCACGGCUAACUACGUG